rnacentral:sRNA from 12 species
CCUUUGGAGAGUCAUAUCAAAUGAAAGUAGCUACGGCAAAAUCAGAUUCUAUGAAGAAGGAA